rnacentral:rRNA from 1 species
AUAUGCUUGUCCCGAAGAUUAAGCCAUGCAAGUCUUUUUGACGAUGGGGGUAACUCUAAAAUCUGCGAACGGCUCCAUAUAUCUGUUAUCACCCUCCAUACCAAAGAAAUAAGUUUCCAUUUCGGAUAACGGUGCAAAAUGUAGCUAUAAUACGUGAAAAUUUGAUUUCUCACAAGGAUCCUACCCCAGUGUACCAGGCUGUAUGCACGUACUUACCCUAGUGGCAAGAGGGUGUACACGUCCUGGCAGCUAGGGUUGCGAUACCUGUGGGAGGGCUCACCCUUUCAACACAAACUCUGGUGCCGGUAGCGCUUUUAGUCCUCAACGGCACACGCAGUAUAUGGAACGAGGUAACGUGAGUACCCGAAUACGAUGGCACUAGCUCCACGUUCAACAGAAUGGGGUAUGAGGGGUUCCAGACCUAUCAACUGGAAGGUUAGGUAUUGGCUAACCUUGGUGGUAACGGGUACAGAGGAUUAGGGUUUGAUCCUGGAGAGGUAGCCUGAGAGAUUGCUCCCACUUCUAAGGAAGGCAGCAGGCGCGCAACGUUCCCAAUGGGGAUGACCCUGAGGACGUGAAGGGACAUAGCAAUACUGGGCCUUUACUGGCUCGGUAAUUGAAAUGUGGGCGGAUUAAAACCCCCACCGAGUAACAAUUGGAGGACAAGUCUGGUGCCAGCACCCGCGGUAAUUCCAGCUCCAAUAGCAUCUAAUUGAGUUGUUGCAGUUAAAACGCUCGUAGUCAAAUUCGGUAGUUCUAGCUUGCACGGUUAGUAAGCUGGUGGUAGUUGGCUCAGGGCCCCCUUCUGAAGGGGGUGCUGCUGCCGCGUGACCAGUGAAACACCCUGUGGGCUGACUUCCAGCUAAUCCCCUGUCCACGUGCAUCCGCUACAGCUUGAUUGCUGGGAUUAAGUGGGGGGGGGAUAUUUUACUUUGAAUAAAUUUAAGCGCUUAAAGCAGGCGAUUGCGUACUACGCAGCCUUGAAAAUGGUAGCAAAGAAUAAUGUAGCACGUUUUGUAUGUCACUGCGUGUCCAUAUUGGUGGAGUGAAAUUCCAGAAAAUGAUUAAUAGGGGUGAUCGGGGUCAGCCACAUGGCCUGGGGAGGGGUGAAAUCCGUUGAUCCUAGCCAGGUGAACUAAUGCGAAAGCAGCUGACAAGUACACUUUCUUUGAUCAAGAACGAAAGCCUGGGGAGCGAAUGUGAUCAGAUACCACAGUAGUCUAGGCCCUAAAUGUUGCCGACCAUGGGUGGGCUUUUGUCCAUCAUGACCCCGUCCGAACCUUGUGAGAAAUCAAAAGUUUUUGGGCUCCGGGGGGAGUAUGGUCGCAAGACUGAAACUUAAAGGAAUUGACGGAAGAGCACACAAGGAGUGGAGCCUGCGGCUUAAUUUUAGGCCCAGUCAGUGUAAUAGCAAAACACUGGCUAGUUGGUACGGCCAAAUACCAGCAACACUUUCAAAUUGCGGGGAGUUCCUAAAGUUCUCGUCACCAAACUGCGCUUAAUAGGUGUAUAAAACAGGGGGUUGGGAUCCUGGCUGGUAGCACAGGGGAGCUGCCUGCAGUGGCCCUGGGUAAUUCCCAGGGGUAUGGUAAUAGUACGAGAAAUAGGUGCUUGGAGGCAGUCAUACCCCUCCUCUAGAGGCAUUCGUGCCUCUAGCAUGCAUCAACAAUGGAUAAUCCGCAGCCAAGUCCGUGUAAAAUAGGUGUGGGGAGCCUACACGGAUGCAGUUCACAGACUAAAUGUAAGUGGGCAAUUGCCUAGUAAUAAUGGGGAUAUAUUACUGCAAUUUGCUUAAGAUAUAGUCGGGCCUUCCCCGAAAGGGGACUGGGGGAUGAAGGGGCUUGUAGGGCCCCCUGAGCCCUUGGGACGCUAAGCCAAAUAGCGUUUGGAACAACCGUAAUUUGACUCAACACGGGGAAACUCACUAGAGCAUGAAAAAACGGAUGACUGACAGUCUAUAGGGCUUUCAGGAUUCAUUUAGUGGUGGUGCAUGGUCGUUCUUAGUUCGUGGAGUGAUUUGUCUGGUCAAUUCCGCUAACGAGCGAGAACCCUCCUACUGAUGUUGGGUUGGUUGGCAUGCCGAGCUGGAUAGGGAUUGAUGGGAGGGUGGGGUCAAACCUGCCACCUUGAGAGCCCAUUUACCCUGGUUUACUGGGGGUCUGGCUGGGCUGUAAAAGCCUGCCAGCUCGUUCUGAGAGUAGCAGCCCCGUCAAGGGGCUGGUUGUGGGUCAAUAACAGGUCAGUGAUGCCCUUAGAUGCUCUAGGCCGCACGCGCGCUACAAUGGGGGGAUUAGCCGGUGCCUGCCCCGAAAGGUGGUAGGGAAUCCAUAAAAGCCCCCCAUAUCUGGGAUUGGGGUGUGUAAAGCACCUCAUAAACAAGGAAUUUCUAGUAGUUACAG